AGACACCCAAUACAUAAUAAACUUUUUCAAAGAGUUAUCUCUGUAAUAUCAUAUCAUUUGUACCAUUUAUAUUUUUUUUUUUUUAAACAGAUUAAAUUGAGUUAUUUGUUAUAAUUAAUGUUAGGGUAGUUUGGACUACCGGGCCCGGCGCGGUGAAUUCUGAAUCCUGUGGUCCUGCGGUUCACUAACGAUAAAAUAACCGCCGCCCUGUAUUAUUGUUAUUACACUGUCUUGCAUAUCGAUGAACUCCGGCAUAAUGUUCCGUGCUCAUCGGAUGUCUCGAAAUUGCGGUAUUUACCACCGGUAGACGACGACGUAAGCAGAUUAAAGGCGCGGUCCCCGUUCCGAGAUUUUACCUUACCGAUAAUUUUUCGUGCACGCCGGCGUAGCGUUUUAUUAUUAUUAUUAUUUUUUUUAAUAUAUAUAUUUUUUGCAACCGUAAGUACGCGGCAGACUCUCGAUAAUAUUAUUCGAACCUCGAUAACGUUGCGGAAAACAUCGUAAGCGGGAACGUUAAGUGCGGAUCGGCACCGGCGGAGAGGUCGCGUUGACACGGACUCCUCGACUCGGCCGCGGAAUUUCUAUAAUCGUUCCGUUCGUUUUUCACAAACGCAAACCGUUGGCGAAAUGCAAAUCUAUACAUAUGUUAUCAUUUCGAUAACGUUAAAAAUACGCGUGUUGAACAUAUCCACGGGGUGUUUUCUAAAACGAACAUCGUAUUUAUUUUUAGA